rnacentral:lncRNA from 1 species
AGAAUUCAGAGCAGAAGUAGUAUGAAGCUUCUUGACACAUGCAUGCCAAAACAUGGCUCCGUUUGGAGAAGGCUUAGCAAUUAGCAUGUUUGAGGAUGUGCAAGAGGAGGUUUAUCCAGGACAAUCUAUAAAGGUAAGAGUGUUUGAAUUCUGUUUGCUAUCUAUGAUGUCGUGGGACAGUUUGCAGUAAAUUAUUCUUGUAGAUCCUUUUCUCUUGAAGUUCCCACAUAUUAACAUUAGAGAAGAUUACACCUCCUGGUUUGGUUCUCCUUUUCAGACUUGCUCAUCUAGUUUGGUUAAAUAAUCCUUAGAUCUAUCCUUAUGUUGGCUAAAGAUUAUGAUUUCAACUUUUUUUUUUGUUCCAAGAUUUCAACUCCAUUUAGGAAUGAUCUGUCACACACAAAUGUUUACUGUAAAUACUUGUGAUGAGUCGCAUUUGGAGUCAUUUAGGAAUUGAUCUCUCUCGCAUACAAAUAUAUUCCUAAAACCAGAUGCAUCUAAGAACCUUAGCUCUUGAAAGGAACCCAUUAAACAUGUCGGUGGGAGCCUUGCUAGGUAAAAAUCUGUCCAAAUUCGUAAUGCUAGGUAGUAGUAGCAAGCAUGACGGCCGUUGUUACAUUAUUGCAAUUUCAAGUUGCUACAGUUCAAUCUCUCAUAAAAAGUUGCCACAGUUCAAAAAGAGGAGCGCUGUACUUCAAUUUUCUACUACUACAACAUGUUUUUGCAUGCUAUGUUUUCUGAUCCUUGGAUUACAUGCUCUCAGUAAUCCAACACAGCUUUUUUUUUUAAACAAUUGAACAUAAGCAUCAGUUAAUUCGAUUACUUAGCUCAAUACACCUGAUGAAACAAGAAACAAAACUAAAUGAUCUCAAUCAACAGCAUCCUUUCUGUUCACAAAAUCAUACAGAACAUUAUUACGGAGUCUAUACAUGUACUACAAGAAGGGAAGUCAUAUAAUUCAAUUGAAUUUCUGGUUGCUAUAACAUACAAAAGGUGCAACUGUAAUUAUCUAGUUUGCAGUAACUAAGUUCACCAAAAUGCUGUGGCCAGUAUAUAUACCAAAAAAGAAAUACAUUUUGGCCUUCUUUUAACAUACAACACACACACACAUAUCAGCUUUCCUCAGCGUGACAUCUUCUCUUCUAUGCAACCGUGGAACUGAAUGAACAAAUGAUCUGUUGCAGUGCACACCAUGGAACCUGACAACUUGAAGCUCACCGAAUUUCUUGGUUUCACUCAUCAUGCAUAAGCCAGCAAAGUAGCCAACACAAUCGAAAAUACCAAAACCGAGAGUGUCAAUGGUUGUUUUGUCAGAGGACUUGCAUUAGGCAACCAUGGAUAUGCAUCCGGAGGUGGCAUGACACAAUUAUCACCAUUGAAGUACACGCGGUGUGGGAAGGCCCAUCCCUUGUCAAAGGUGAAGUCCUUGGAAUCCUUACGCAGAAGAAGUUCUGACUGUGCAUUUCCAAGUGGACCAGCUUGCAUGAGCAAAUCGUUAUAGAACUUAACUCCCCAGAACAUCGCAGUAUCAUCUAAAAUAGAAGGAAUAAACUUCAUCAGAGAAAGAGAGAGAGAGAGAGAGAUAAAGGAACGUAUUACAAGUGCACUCCAAUUUUCUUAAAUAAAGGAGAACAGUUUGUAAAUUGACUUACUUAUCUUGCUUCCAUAUGGAGUAAGUGGCUUGUAGUUGAAGCUAAACAGCUGGGUGAUAUUAUUGAAGUUAGGAUGUUGAGCGACCAAAUUCCACUGUGUGUAAUUCAUGCGGUAGUUGAAGUUCGUAAUCGUGAUCUUCACUCUCCAAUAUUCCUUAUAGUUGAGUUUCACAUGCCAGUGGAUUCUGAUCGGGCACAUGUGAGAAGUACAUUGGACAAGAGGCUGACCGGUCCAUUUGCCAGGGCCAUCAAUGGCAGAUUGUAAAUAAGGUGAAUUCU